AUUGAACGCUGGCGGCAGGCCUAACACAUGCAAGUCGAACGAGUGGCGUACGGGUGAGUAAUGUCUGGGAAACUGCCUGAUGGAGGGGGAUAACUACUGGAAACGGUAGCUAAUACCGCAUACCAUCAGAUGUGCCCAUAUGGGAUUCGCUAGUUGGUGGGGUAACGGCUCACCAGGUAGACGAUCCAUAGCUGGUCUGAGUGUAUGACCAGCCACACUGGAACUGAGAAACGGUCCUGACUCCAACGGGAGGCAGCGUUGGGGAAUAUUGCACAAUGGGCGCAAGCCGGAUGCAGCCAUGCCGCGUGGUUGAAGAAGGCCUUCGGGUUGUAAAGUACUUUCAGCGGGGAGGCGUUACCCGCAGAAGAAGCACCGGCUAACUCCGUGCCAGCGGCCGCGGUAAUAC
rnacentral:rRNA from 1 species